rnacentral:lncRNA from 1 species
AUCGUAGUACCACCACUGCCUGGGAAAGCCUUGAAGCGGCAGCUCCCUUUCCGAGGAGAUGAAGGGAUCUUUGAGGAGUCUUUCAUUGAAGAAAGGAGGCAAGGCCUCGAACAGUUUAUUAACAAAAUUGCUGGGCACCCACUGGCUCAGAAUGAACGCUGUCUACACAUGUUCCUGCAGGAGGAGGCAAUUGAUAGGAACUACGUCCCUGGGAAGUUGGCUACCCAUCCCCUGGCUUGAUAGACCGUCCUGCAUUGUGCCCCUUGGUACCAGACUACACCGUGUGGGCGCUCUGCUAGUAUCUCUUCUCUGAAGAGAG